rnacentral:rRNA from 1 species
GAUGAACGCUAGCGGCAGGCCUAAUACAUGCAAGUCGAACGGUGUAGCAAUACACAGUGGCGCACGGGUGCGUAACACGUAUGCAACUUACCUUACAUUGGGGGAUAGCCUUGCGAAAGGGAGAUUAAUACCGCAUAAGACAGUAACUAGGCAUCUAGUAGCUGUUAAAGAUUUAUCGAUGUAAGCUGGGCAUGCGUCCAAUUAGUUAGUUGGCGAGGUAAUGGCUCACCAAGACGAUGAUUGGUAGGGGAACUGAGAGGUCAAUCCCCCACACUGGCACUGAGAUACGGGCCAGACUCCUACGGGAGGCAGGAGUAGGGAAUAUUGGGCAAUGGGCGCAAGCCUGACCCAGCCAUGCCGCGUGCAGGAAGAAGGCGUUAUGCGUUGUAAACUGCUUUUAUACAGGAAGAAACGACCCUUGCGAGGGGCAUUGACGGUACUGUAUGAAUAAGCACCGGCUAACUCCGUGCCAGCCGCCGCAGUAACAC